GUUGCGAAGACAACCAGGAUGUUGGCUUAGAAGCAGCCACCAUUUAAAGAGUGCGUAAUAGCUCACUGGUCGAGUGACUCUGCGCCGAAAAUGUAACGGGGCUAAACACACCACCGAAGCUAUGGCAACGUAUUUCUUUCAGAAAUACUUGGGUAGGGGAGCGUUCUGUGAGGGUUGAAGUUAGACCGAGAGGACUAGUGGACUUCACAGAAGUGAGAAUGCCGGUAUGAGUAACGAAAAGACAAGUGAGAAUCUUGUCCGCCGAAAGCCUAAGGGUUCCUGAGGAAGGUUCGUCCGCUCAGGGUAAGUCGGGACCUAAGGCGAGGCCGAAAGGCGUAGUCGAAGGACAACAGGUUGAAAUUCCUGUACCACCGUAAGCCGUUAUGAGCAAUGGGGGGACGCAGGAGGGCAAGAACGCGAGCUGAUGGAAUAGUCUGUCCAAGCAGUAAGAGGGGUGUGUAGGCAAAUCCGCACACUGUAACCUCAAGCUGUGAUGGGGAGGGAAAAUCACAGUACCGAAGGUUCCGUGCUCACGCUGCCGAGAAAAGCCUCUAGCCAGGUGAUGGUGCCCGUACCGCAAACCGACACAGGUAGGCGAGAAGAGAAUUCUAAGGCGCGCGGAAGAACUCUCGUUAAGGAACUCGGCAAAAUGACCCCGUAACUUCGGGAGAAGGGGUGCCUCGGUAGGGUGAAUAGCCCGAGGGGGCCGCAGUGAAUAGGCCCAAGCGACUGUUUAGCAAAAACACAGGUCUGUGCGAAGCCGUAAGGCGAAGUAUACGGGCUGACGCCUGCCCGGUGCUGGAAGGUUAAGAGGAGCGGUUAGGGGUGACCCGAAGCUGUGAAUUGAAGCCCCAGUAAACGGCGGCCGUAACUAUAACGGUCCUAAGGUAGCGAAAUUCCUUGUCAGGUAAAUUCUGACCCGCACGAAUGGCGUAACGACUUGGGCGCUGUCUCAACGAGAGAUCCGGUGAAAUUUUAGUACCUGUGAAGAUGCAGGUUACCCGCGACGUGACGGAAAGACCCCAUGGAGCUUUACUGUAGCUUGAUAUUGAACUUUGGUACGGUCUGUACAGGAUAGGUGGGAGCCUGAGAAGCCGGAGCGCCAGCUUCGGUGGAGGCGACGUUGGGAUACCACCCUGAUCGUAUCGGAGUUCUAACCUGUCACCGUGAAACCGGUGAAGGGACCGUGUCAGGCGGACAGUUUGACUGGGGCGGUCGCCUCCUAAAGCGUAACGGAGGCGCCCAAAGGUUCCCUCAGAAUGGUUGGAAAUCAUUCGAAGAGUGCAAAGGCAUAAGGGAGCUUGACUGCGAGACCUACAAGUCGAGCAGGGAGGAAACUCGGGCUUAGUGAUCCGGUGGUACCGAAUGGAAGGGCCAUCGCUCAACGGAUAAAAGCUACCCUGGGGAUAACAGGCUUAUCUCCCCCAAGAGUCCACAUCGACG
rnacentral:rRNA from 1 species